rnacentral:rRNA from 1 species
ACUCCUACGGGAGGCAGCAGUGGGAAUAUUGGACAAUGGGCGCAAGCCUGAUCCAGCCAUGCCGCGUGAGUGAUGAAGGCCCUAGGGUUGUAAAGCUCUUUCACCGGUGAAGAUAAUGACGGUAACCGGAGAAGAAGCCCGCUGAACUUCAGUGCCAGCCAGCCGCGGGUAAUACGAAGGGGCGUAGCGUUGUUCGGGAAUUACUGGGCGUAAAGCGCACGUAGGCGGACUGUUAAGUCGGGGGUGAAAUCCCGGGGCUCAA